rnacentral:rRNA from 1 species
CCACACGACUCUCGGCAACGGAUAUCUCGGCUCUUGCAUCGAUGAAGAACGUAGCGAAAUGCGAUACCUGGUGUGAAUUGCAGAAUCCCGUGAACCAUCGAGUCUUUGAACGCAAGUUGCGCCCGAGRCCACUCGGUCGAGGGCACGCCUGCUUGGGCGUCACGC